GAUGAACGCUGGCGGCGUGCCUAAUACAUGCAAGUCGAGCGAACAGACGAGGAGCUUGCUCCUCUGACGUUAGCGGCGGACGAGUGAGUAACACGUGGAUAUCCUACCUAUAAGACUGGGAUAACUUCGGGAAACCGGAGCUAAUACCGGAUAAUAUAUUGAACCGCAUGGUUCAAUAGUGAAAGACGGUUUUGCUGUCACUUAUAGAUGGAUCCGCGCCGCAUUAGCUAGUUGGUAAGGUAACGGCUUACCAAGGCAACGAUGCGUAGCCGACCUGAGAGGGUGAUCGGCCACACUGGAACUGAGACACGGUCCAGACUCCUACGGGAGGCAGCAGUAGGGAAUCUUCCGCAAUGGGCGAAAGCCUGACGGAGCAACGCCGCGUGAGUGAUGAAGGUCUUCGGAUCGUAAAACUCUGUUAUUAGGGAAGAACAAAUGUGUAAGUAACUAUGCACGUCUUGACGGUACCUAAUCAGAAAGCCACGGCUAACUACGUG
rnacentral:rRNA from 1 species